rnacentral:rRNA from 1 species
GUGGAUUAGAUACCCUAGUAGUCCACGCCGUAAACUAUGGGUGCUAGCUGUCAGCGGGCUUGCUCGUUGGUGGCGCAGCUAACGCAUUAAGCACCCCGCCUGGGGAGUACGGUCGCAAGAUUAAAACUUAAAGGAAUUGACGGGGGCCCGCACAAGCGGUGGAGCAUGUGGUUUAAUUCGAAGCAACGCGCAGAACCUUACCAACCCUUGACAUCCCGGUCGCGGACACCAGAGAUGGAGUCCUUCAGUUCGGCUGGACCGGAGACAGGUGCUGCAUGGCUGUCGUCAACU